UGGGGAAUAUUGGACAAUGGGCGCAAGCCUGAUCCAGCCAUGCCGCGUGAGUGACGAAGGCCUUAGGGUUGUAAAGCUCUUUUGGCGGGGAAGAUAAUGACGGUACCCGCAGAAUAAGCUCCGGCUAACUUCGUGCCAGCAGCCGCGGUAAUACGAAGGGAGCUAGCGUUAUUCGGAAUCACUGGACGUAAAGCGCACGUAGGCGGACUUUCAAGUCAGGGGUGAAAUCCCGGGGCUCAACCUCGGAACUGCCUUUGAUACUGUUGGUCUCGAGUCCGGAAGAGGUGAGUGGAAUUCCUAGUGUAGAGGUGAAAUUCGUAGAUAUUAGGAAGAACACCGGUGGCGAAGGCGGCUCACUGGUCCGGUACUGACGCUGAGGUGCGAAAGCGUGGGGAGCAAACA
rnacentral:rRNA from 1 species